UGGAUAACCUACCUAUAAGACUGGGAUAACUUCGGGAAACCGGAGCUAAUACCGGAUAAUAUAUUGAACCGCAUGGUUCAAUAGUGAAAGACGGUUUGCUGUCACUUAUAGAUGGAUCCGCGUCGCAUUAGCUAGUUGGUAAGGUAACGGCUUACCAAGGCAACGAUGCGUAGCCGACCUGAGAGGGUGAUCGGCCACACUGGAACUGAGACACGGUCCAGACUCCUACGGGAGGCAGCAGCC
rnacentral:rRNA from 1 species